ACUGGUCUAGACCUCCGAGACAGGAUUGUGUCGAGGCACAGAUCUGGAGAAGGAAGUGAAUACUUUCCAGAUGCACUUGUAUAUAAUGAGUCAAAUUAUGAUUCAAACUAAAUGUCUUUUUCUUACCAUGCUCCUCUGGUGAUGUUGUACCUCAGAGACCCAGCAUGAGAAACUCGCCCAUCUCUUUGUCUGUCAUUCAGCGGAUCUUGUUUUAGGCUGCUGGGAGAGAGGCCGCCAGGUUCCCACAGAGGUGUAGAGCAUUUAUCAGCUAGUGCAGCACUGCAUUCUCCAGUCAUGAGGUGCAGUAACUGAUGGCAGAUGGCGGCUGUUGGCAUUUGUACCCGGCUGGCGCCCAGACUGAGUCAUGGAAAGCUCGGUGUGAGGCACAAACAGCUCUCACUCGACACUUUAAACCAACCAUGUAGGACAAUAUCAAAACCAGACUCAAAAAAUAUUUUUUUGACAGUGGAUUAGUCCAUAUAGUUUCAGAUAUAAUGUCACAUAUAAGAAAAGUCAUUGUAAGGUCACCUUGGGUUGUGUUAUCUAAUGCCCUUGAAGGUGUUAGCGUCCGUUUUGCUUACUUAUUGAAUUCAAGAGCUAGACUUUUCAAGCGGAUUGCCUGUAGGACAGCAGAUCCAAAGCAGAUGAGCAGAAACGAGAUUUUUCAGGAUUCUCGGGGAACAUCAGCUUUGAGUUGUGUAUUUGCGCAGUAAAUUUCCAGUGAAUUCAUUGCUUGUCUGAGAUGUGAGAUAACCACAGCAGGUUGUAAAUUAAAUCAAACCCUGAUGUUGGUUUUGUCUGGUUGUACACUGACAAAGAGGUCAAACCUCAGGCAAAACACUGGGGAAAACGGCACCAUCCAAAGUUUCCAUAGAAAUUGCUAAUAAAUCAUCUUUAUUUAGGGCUUUUCAGAUGUUCUUUAUUUAGCGCUAGUUUGUAGUGUGCAAAUACAUCUUUCUGGAACCCAACAAAAAAGCUGAAGGCAUGUAUUUAUUUGUUUGUUGUCAUAUUGUUUUGAACAUAAGAAAUACAUUAUUUUUGUGUUCUUUGUAGAAGACAUCAGUACUCCGUUACAAAGAAAACAAUGCAUUGUUUUCUUUAUUAAUAUUCUUCAAUAACAUUACCUGUUUUUUUUUUUUUUUUUGCAAAGAUCAGGUUUUAUCAAUUUUAUCCACUGAACAGCUACAACAUUAAAACCACUAAUAUUGUGUAAGUUCCUUUCGUGCUUCCAAAACAGCUCUGAUGUGUCAAGGCAUGGACUCCACAAGACCUCUGAACUUGUCCUGUCUCUAGCACCA